AUAGUUCUCAGUCAAGAACCCCUCAUUUGACAAUUCAUAUUUCUUGUUCCAAACCCUAAAUUCAACUUCACCUCCUCAUCACCGAAUCAAACCCUAAAAUUAAAGGUCCUCACUCACAAGCACACCAUGGAUCUUCAUCUCUUCUCAUCUCUGGGUCGCAGCUUAGUUGAAGAUUUUGGAUUUUGGGUUUUUCACUCUCUUCCUCACUAAAUCCACCACAACAACACCUUCACCACAAAACACUCUUGUAGCAAAUCUUCUACCGUUAACAGUCCACUGUUUCACUAAAAACAUCUUCACUCGUGCAAAUAUCUCUACUCUAAUCGAUAACCGUCUUUCUAGAAGCAUCAACAAAUCCAAAUCUAAAGCUAUAGAAGACGAUAUUGUUGGUUCGAGUUUUGGUUUUGGUGAAAUGAGUGGUAAUGGAACGAUGGUUGGAGUGGUGGGUUUAGUGGGUAGAAGUAAAGUUUCGGUUUUUGAGAAAGGUGAAGUGAAGAAGAAGAAGAAGAAGAAGAAGAAGAAGAUGGUGAAAGGGUGUGAUUUGAGUAAAGGGUAUUGGGUUUUUGAUGAAAGGUAUCCUCUUUAUGGUGGAGCUUCUUAUCCUUUUGUUGAUGAAGGUUUUGAUUGUGAGGGGAAUGGAAGAUUGGAUAGAAAUUUUACUAAGUGGAGAUGGCAACCUCAAUAUUGUGACCUUCCAAGUGUUGGGUCGGUUCAUACAAGGUAAAGGACUAGCUUAAAUUGGGCCCCCUGCAUUGUUCUUCUGGAUUAGUCGGUCUCAAAGAGAGACUUUUUACUAUUAGGAGUAACAUAUGUGAAGUUAGUAGCAAAGGAUUAUCAAUGUACAAUUGAGUACUAUGUAAGUCAUUUUAGUUCAUGAAAGCAAGGCGAGAGUAGGGCAGAAAUGAAGAACGACGCUGCGAAUUGAUGUCAUUGAUUACGGUUCGUCAAGAUGGAGAGGAGCUGAUAUUUUGGGUUUCAACACAAUGGUAUCAUUACAAAACCAAAGCUGGGUUAGUACCUCUCUUAAAUUUCCCAAUUGAAGCCUUGUGCAGUGCUACCUCUCUCUCCUUGCCUUCCUGCAAAUCGCAUUUACCUAGCAGGAGGUCUUGCAGGAGGUCUUCAUGAGGAUGCUAAAGUGAUUGAGAAGCAUGCCGCACAACUCUAUACUCUAGUCGAAGAUUGUGACCAACCCGAUUAUGUCAAAUUGGUGAAAGCCCUUUGUGCAGAACAUAAUGUUAGUUUGCUGACAGUUCCAAGUGCAUUGACACUUGGAAAAUGGGAUGGUGCAAGUGCCCUUCACCCUUAACCUAGUUUUGGUUGAAGCAACAGCUCUACCAUAUCUAGAGAUUUGACCUGAUGAACUAAGUUUAGAUGAAAAGGCAGAGUUACUCUUUUUAGAUCAGGGGUAUGUAUGCCAAUUCAUUCGACACGACUAUUGUAAUUCUUGAAGUUGGUUAGAAAACCGUGAAAUAACUUGCACUUUUAUGAGUACUCUUCAUUUAGUCUAGUGUUUGGUUUACAACUGGCUUACACCUAAGGAAGUAGAAUUUCACAACCGUGAAAUGACUUGUUAGGAAUAUGUGAAGUUAACAACUAAGGAAGUAUUAACAAUUUAAUUAAUUUCUUUUUGCAGCUUGUUAGUUUAAUGUUUGGUUUACAACUGGCUUAUACCUAGAAGAAUUAGAAUUUGUUAUGUGCUGAUACUUAUUUCAAUUUGAUGGUAAAAACUUUGUUGCAAAUUUGAAGGAACCUUUUAAUCUUCAAAGGGGUUGGCUUUUGUGAGCUGGAGUUGGACUUGUUGGUGCUCUAGUUUCAAUUGGAUUGACAGGAGUUAAUGUGUCCUUUAGUUGAGAAACCCCACAAAGAGAGGCUCACUCACUAUUGGGUCUGACUUGGGAUAACUUUGUGUUGGUGCAUAUAUUCGGAAACUCAAAUUUAAACGGUUUUAAGAAGAAACGUCAAUGGAGAAGAGUGAAAUGACGCUGGACUUAGCCGCUUGGAGAUUUGCGAGGCACUUGGAUUUCACUGCCGGUCCGUCAUUUACAGCACCCCUUGCAAAAACUUCUGGUGAAGAGGUUAAUAAAAUUACUUUUUGUUUUUUCUUUUGAAUGUGUUGCAUUUAAUGAUAAUCAACUUUGAGAUGCUAAAGUGUAUGUAAAAGUGAUGUAUGUUUGGAGUUUUUUUAUAAGUUGAGAUUGUAUAAGAAACAUAAGGCUUUUACUGGAAGUUAGCUUUUAAUUGAAGACAAGGGUUCUUGUCUAUAAUUUGGUUUGAUAUGUGAAAACCAUGAUUCUUGGAGAUUUUUUAAAGGUAAGGAUGGUUGCAUAAGUGCUAGUGUUAAAGAUCAUUAGGGAUGAAAGUCUGAAUUUCCUUCCAAUUGUAAAUGAUUCAUUUCACUAAUACUUUAACCAUGUUUGUUGUAUCUGUAUGCGAUCUCAGCAUUAUUCUUGAGGUUGGUUAUAAUGAUCUAACUUGUGUGUGGGUAGAUAGUGAAAACAGUAAUGCUUGCACUUUUUGUAAAAAAAGACAGAUUUUACCACACGACCAUGGUAUAUCUAAACAUCUUGCAUGCUUAUUUGUGCUUUCCUUAACUAAUAGCUAAUUUUGAAACUAUAAAGUAUUGUGGGUGCUUUGUAUCUGGGAUUUAUUAUGAUGGUUGCAACUGUCUGAAACAAAAGUUACAGGAGGAAGUGUCUGAAACUAAAUUUACUGGAAAGCACAAUAAAGGAUGUCACUGCAAGAAAUCAGGUUGUUUUAAGAAGUAUUGUGAGUGUUACCAAGCCAAUAUCCUCUGCUCUGAAAAUUGUAAAUGCAUGGACUACAUGACACUCAAUGUGAAGAAUAUUUGUUUACUCACUAAAUUGGUACUUUUUUGUUAACUUGAUUCCACUGAUUGCUAUGUUAUUAUAU